GUACAGAACAAUGGACCUCUAAUUUAUUCUUUGGAUGAGAAAACUGAACUUUAGAAAGAAACUACUUGCUCAUGAUCAUAACAGCCUGUAAGAGAUCCAGUGUAAGAGGUGAGAUUCUCUGAGCCUUUUGAAAGUAGAUACUAUGGGAAUUCACAUCUGGCUUCAGAUACUUCUAAACUGGAUGACCUUGGGCAAGUCACUUAACCUCCAUUGCCUAGCCCUUACCACGCUUCUGCCUUGGAAUGAAUGUACAGAAUUGAUUCUAAGAUGGAAGGCAAAUGAGUACUGGAGAUGGAACAACCUCAUGAGCUUCAAAGGGUCAAAGGAAACACUAUAGUUCCAGCAGCAGGAGGCCCUAGCAGAGUCUGCAAGUAGCUGCAGCAACUGAGCCCAGCCAAGGAGCCAACAGAGCCUGAAGAGGAACCUGCUUGACCCAGCCCAGUCCUGGCUCUCUCUGGUUGCAGAAGCGAACAAGGAGAGAGAAAUGCUUUGUCGCUACCAUUUUAAGUUUCAUUCCAUAGUUUUCCUUGUUUGGGAGGGAUAUUUCUGCACAUCUCUUCUUGCUUUAUAUUACCGUAAAUAGCCCUUUCUAAAAUCCGAUUGAUGUUAACUGGUUGUCGGUUGCAUUUGGGUAAAUUGAUAUGGGGGCGCUAAUUCCUGGGUGGAUGAAAUUGAGGAUGUAUUAAUUUGUGAUUGAUACUUGAGGGAAUAAACCAAAUGAGGACUUGUGAGCUAUAGUAAUA
rnacentral:lncRNA from 1 species